rnacentral:lncRNA from 1 species
UCCUUUGAUUUUUUGCAUGUAAUUUUAGAAGUUUUGAAAACAUAUUUAAAAUUAGUAUUUUUAAAAUUUUAUUUUUCUGAAUAAAACUAACAUUCAGAAAAAUAAAAUCACCAAAAUUUUAUUUUUGCUAUAUGAUCAAAACACCUAAGGUUACGUAUAAAUAGGACCACAGAUCAGUUGAAAAGGAAACAUAAUCAUCUCCUGCUUAUAAAAUUUGUCUACGUUGAUUAUAUUUUCGACUAUAAAUAUUCAAGAACUUGAAGCAAAAAUUGUAAAUGAAAGAUACAAAUUGUCUUAAUAUUUAGGUUAAGCAUUUACUGCCUUUCCCAUUCAACUGUAAAGAGUAAACCAGCUCUCAUUAAAACCAACAACAAUCUAAAAGAAAACUAGACAAUGAAAAAAACCCAGCAUUAGCCAAAGGCCUUUCGCCCUUGCAGCACACUUACCAUUAUUACCAAGANUAGUACACANGAAUGUCCGGACAUAAACAUACCAUCAAUGAGAAAAAACAGCUAAUGGCUUAACCCUAGAUUUUUUGUGCAUAUGUUGGGGGCACUACAUUGUCAUCUAGAGGAAAGGUUUUCCUCGUCCAGCGCCUUUUUUUCUGCUGAUUGUUCUAGACAAACACCCAAAUAAUAUAUGCAAACUAUACUUGCUCAAGAAUUCUUUUUUCGUAUCCUUUUUGGCCAAUUCAACAUAAACCACCACCACAUUCCACACCUCUGUUUCCAGGAACAAAAGUUUAAAGCGCCUUGAGAAAACAGAAGGCUAAAGACAUGGAAUAAAAUAAUACUCCCUCUUGGUCGUCCUUUGAUUUUUUGCAUGUAAUUUUAGAAGUUUUGAAAACAUAUUUAAAAUUAGUAUUUUUAAAAUUUUAUUUUUCUGAAUAAAACUAACAUUCAGAAAAAUAAAAUCACCAAAAUUUUAUUUUUGCUAUAUGAUCAAAACACCUAAGGUUACGUAUAAAUAGGACCACAGAUCAGUUGAAAAGGAAACAUAAUCAUCUCCUGCUUAUAAAAUUUGUCUACGUUGAUUAUAUUUUCGACUAUAAAUAUUCAAGAACUUGAAGCAAAAAUUGUAAAUGAAAGAUACAAAUUGUCUUAAUAUUUAGGUUAAGCAUUUACUGCCUUUCCCAUUCAACUGUAAAGAGUAAACCAGCUCUCAUUAAAACCAACAACAAUCUAAAAGAAAACUAGACAAUGAAAAAAACCCAGCAUUAGCCAAAGGCCUUUCGCCCUUGCAGCACACUUACCAUUAUUACCAAGACCGAGAGGUUGAGUAUCC